rnacentral:rRNA from 1 species
AUGAUCAGCAGGAUCCUGAAGAGGGUCCGUGGCUUGUACCCUCAGUACAUCGGCGUUGAUGUCGAGUAUACCAGGGAAGACGAACCUCCGCAAAGGGCAGCGGUUCUGCAGUUAUGCGUGGAGGAACUCUGUCUGGUAUACCACAUCACCGCGGCAACAAAAUGGCCCAAGAGCCUGCGCCCAUUCCUGAAGGAGGACAGGUUCUACACCUUUGCCGGCUUCAGUAUUGAAGGUGACACAGAGAUGCUGCGAAGUUCUGGUUUGGAGAUCAACCCCGACAAGUAA